UGUGAGAUCAAAGAUGCUAAGGCUUCGUUGGACUCCUAAUCUUCGUCUCUCCUUUGUCCAUGCUGUUCAGAGGCUUGGAGGUCAAGAAAGUAAGUCAAGAAAGUAAUUCCACUCUCAAACAGUUGUAAGACUACACUUCAAUUUGACUUGGGAGGAGUUCAAUUUGAUAAAAUGGUCUGUUUCAAUCUUUUUUUAAGUGAUUCUUCUGUCUUGUGUCUAUCCUCUGAGUAUGCUACUAUUGUAGGUUCCUUAUAUUACAAUUGCUUUGACGGAUUCUAAACUUGGUGCGGAAGGGGCGUAAAGAACUUUUUGAUUGGUUAUCUAGGCAACUUUCUGUGCAAAGCAGUUUUGCUGAAGCUGCACAACUUCUGAAGCCAGCCUCUGCUGCAAUGACAGUAAGUUUUGGACAUUCAUGGACCAAUUCUAGCUUUAGUUCUUGAGAAGUUGAAACCAUAUGGAGGCCUUCAAGAAUCAUUUGAGUCUGCUAAGGCAGUUUCAGUGGGCGCAUCCAAAGGUGUUCAAAGGCUGGGAAAUUAACAACUAAUGGUGUU